rnacentral:rRNA from 1 species
AGAACGAACGCUGGCGGCAUGCCUAACACAUGCAAGUCGAACGUGAUCCAGGCUUCGGCCUGGUGAAAGUGGCAGACGGGUGAGUAACGCGUGGGAACCUGCCCUGUGGUAGGGAAUAACCGUGGGAAACUGCGGCUAAUACCCUAUGAGUCCUUCGGGAGAAAGAUUUAUCGCCAUAGGAGGGGCCCGCGUCGGAUUAGGUAGUUGGUGGGGUAACGGCCUACCAAGCCUUCGAUCCGUAGCUGGUCUGAGAGGAUGAUCAGCCACACUGGGACUGAGAUACGGCCCAGACUCCUACGGGAGGCAGCAGUGGGAAUAUUGGACAAUGGGGGCAACCCUGAUCCAGCAAUGCCGCGUGGAUGAUGAAGGCCUUCGGGUUGUAAAGUCCUUUCGGCGGGGAAGAUGAUGACGGUACCCGCAGAAGAAGCCCCGGCUAACUUCGCGCCAGCAGCCGC